AAAAGACAAAGAGACGAAAUUCAAGAUCACAAAGAAAACGGAACGAUCACUUCUCUUGGAAAUUAUAGCCUACGUGGCUGCACGAAAAACAGCACAGUAAAUCAAAUUAAAAAUUUCGGUCGUCGUUUCAACUCUGGCCGCCUCUCUUUAUAGAGUAGAUUAAUACGCAUUCCAUGCUGUUUAGCAGAUGUGAUACUAGGCCAGCCAUCAUAACUUCAAGAUAUGCAAGUUUUGCCAGUUUCACUUUUGCUGGUAAUAAUGACCUGAGAUUGUCAUCAGCAACAAUCUCAGCAUCAUCACUUGGACAAACUGCAUCCCGUUUGAUUGGAGAAACCACCGAUGUCGUUCGAGUUACGGAUCUCUUCUUCACCUUUCUUUCAAUUCUUCGUGUGAGUGUACGAGGGCCGUAUUCACGAGGACGCCGGACGCCCAUUUUCCUACCCUGCCUGGGAGUAUAGGCCUAUUCAGUACUUUUACUGUCAAAAGUACUUCACUUUUCUGCAGAUGGAGCACUUGUGGAUGGUUGCCUGGCUGUAUUUCCCAGGCUUAA